rnacentral:lncRNA from 1 species
ACUUGUAAGUUCAGAUGAAUCCGACUUAACUAAAAAGACAUAAAACCUAAGAGUACGCAGCGGAAAAACAUAAUCUGACUACAUGUAUGAAGACAUGUAUCCAAGAGUUCAUUCAUUCAACCUAAGACAAAAGCUCCGCUCGUCACUUCAUCACCAUCAGCCAUUGCUCAACCUGCACAUUUAAAAAUAUAUGCAGGGCUGAGUAAGAGAGUACUCAGUGGGCACGUAUGCCUAAUAUACACAUCAUCUCUUAAAAACUAUAAAUUGUCAUGCCAUCAUAAACAGUACAUCGAGGGAGUUUUAACUAAAAGGCCCAAGCUUACUAAAUUCAUUUGUGAUUCUUAAAGUUCGACUGCAGUCUAAGUUCUCAUAAUCUAUCAUAUCUGAAGCUGCGUGCCGGAGAGGUGGCCACCUCUCAACGGACACCGGACCGGCCAACCCGCUAGAUGACUCACGGUCCCUCGUGUACACUAGUCAAGGCAGGAUAGCUAGGGAUGUCAAUGCAGCCCGAAACCCGUGGGCCGACCCGAAUAACCCGAUAAAAUUAGAGGGUUAGAGUUGAAAAAUCGCAACCCGAUUACAAAUCGGGCUAAUCGGGCUAGCCCGUUCGGGCUGUCGGGUUGAAGCGGGUCAGCCCGUCGGGUUGUCGGGCCAGCCCGUCGGGCUAUUGAAUUUUUUUUAAAAAAAAAAUCAAAAAUGAAAUAUUAUGAUUUUAGGCUUGUAGCUUUAAGGUUUGCUUCAGAAUUUCCCUAUUCAGCGGCGCGCCUCCAAGUUCCAACUCUCCAAGUUCUCCAACACUUCCACCGUUCACCGCUUCCGAUCAUCCAACGCCGUUCAUCGCCGUUCGGCGUUCACCGUUGAACCACGGUCAGCAGUUCAGCUCGCCUCUGCAGCCGCGGAGUCCUUCGUUUGCCUCUCAUCUGCCGCCAUUUGCCACCACCGCCUCCAGGCUCCAGCAACCGGUCCACGUCGUCGGCUCCUCCACUCGCGACAGUCGGCAUUUUUGAUCCACCUGUCACCACCGCAGGACAGCCCAGAAGCCAUCACAUCCACCGCUGGCGAGCAACAGUAAAAACGGUGAGUCUUUUUUUAAUUCACCUGAUUAUUUCAUUAGAUGUAGUCAUCCUCUGGUGCGUUGAGAUAGUUGUGAAGAAGAUGGGUCAAACUGGAGGUCAAAGAGCCGCGUGCCAGCAGAUCCUCUGCUAAUUUCACCUGAUUAUUCAUUAAUUAUUAAUAAUCUCCAUCUCUCUCUCUCUCUAUAUAUAUAUCUAAUUAAAAAUAGUAUAUAUGAAUGUAUGAUGAUGUAUAGUAAUUAAUUAAAAAAACCUUAGGCUCUGAGAGCUCCGACGUCUGAUUUGAGGACUCGAUUGUUGGUGGCAGCAUUUUUGCACUUUAUGUUAAUUACAUUUUCACUUAUAUGAAUAUAUGUUUCCAGGGGAUUAUUAUAAUAAUAUUUGUGUCUUUACCCGAUUCAUGAUUCUUCUAUGUUAAGGCUUUCAGUCUACAACUUUUAUGUUUUUUAUUAUGACAAGUUAUAUUUAUUUAUUUAUUUUUAAAUAUUUGAAUGUAUUCAUAUUUCAAAAUUAUACAAAAUUAUUCAUAUACAAUUAUUUUUGUUGUAGGAAUACAAAAGUUACAAAGGUGGAACUUCCGAUUCAAAAUCUCCAACCCGAUGGGCUAGCCCGAAACCCGAACGUUUAGGGUUAGGGUUGAAGAUUUACAACCCGAAAAAACCUCCAACCCGAUUAGCCCGCACCCGAUUAACCCGGAACCCGAUAGGGCUAGCCCGAAAACCCGAUGGGCUGGCCCGAUUGACAUCCCUAAGGAUAGCUAUCAACUGCUCAAGACCCGAAUUCGAUUACAUAAUAACUGGCAAAGCCACAUCAGAUAGAUAUCAUACUGAAAUUGAAACAUUUUAUGGCAAGACAAUACUUGAAAUAACUUCAACUCAAAGAUUUUGUCAUGAAAUAACUUGCUUGAACGUAACAUUUAAACUCAUUUGAUAUAUAUGAAAGUAAUGCCCACCUGAUAAGCGAACCUUUGCUAUAGCUUAGUGACUCCUUAUUAGCUUUUACUGUCGCGCUUGACCUUUAAUGCGAGAACGUAAGGUCAAACCUUAGCUCAAGGAUAAUUCUCAAAUAAAUGAGAAUGCGUAAAAUAAAUAUGCAUGACUCAAUAUUCCCUUAAUUAUUAUAUUGAGAUAAUAAAUCAUAUUAAAAUUCUUAUAAUAAUCUAAAAUAUAAGCUUAAAACUCGUCUUAUGGUAUACUAACUCGCUUAAUUAAUAACCUCAUUCUAAACUAAUCCAAUUAGAUAAAUCGGUCCACUUAAAAACAAUAAAUCGGCCCAACCAGAAGCCCAUCUCUAAAAAAAAUCAACUUCAGCCCAAGUGAGGUCCCUCAUUUUGCUCAAACACGGUUUCUCCCUCUCUCUGAAAUGUCUCUGCGCCAUCUCUCUCUCUACGCGAGUUCUGCCACCACCUGACCGGCGAGGCCGCGCCUCGCCUCUGAACUCCGCCGAGUCGGCGUCCUCAUCCAUGUCUCUCGUCUUCUCCUAUUCUAUUCACUCUCUCCUUCUCUCAUCCACUUCUUCUUAAUUCAAUUCCUCAAUUCUUUGAUCUAAGCCCUAGUUUUCCCUUUAAUCAUAGACCGCAGUCACCGCCGCCGUUGAAGGCCCGGUGAGACGGACGGUCGUGAUUCCGUCUCUUCUCAUUUCUCAACAGGUUCACCUCUUCUCUGCUCAAGUCAGAAGAGCCCUAGCUCUCUGUUGAUUCAGGCGAAAUCGUCGCGCCGCUGGGCUUCGUCUGCCGCUGCUCUGUGAACUGGCGGGAGUCGCCGUUGGCGUCGCGCUGCCUUUGCCCUAAAAUUGGCAAGGCUGUUGCUCGACGCUCCGCCUCCUCUAUUGGGAACUACCGCCUCCCUGUAAGGUCGUUGGAAGCUGCCCCGUAAGCCGAGGCCAUCUUCCGUAGUCGAGGGUCGCUGCGCCGCCGUUGCUAUUUGUUCGGCGAAUCGGAGCAGUCACUCGUAGCCUCGUCGACUCGCGUUGCUCGUCCACGCAGUCUCCGUUCUGUGCCCAACCCUCCCGGGGUCCGACCACAACCAACCUAACCCAGUCUCUCUCCCGGGAAGGACUCAACAGGUUCGUAAGCUUACAAAGCUCCAACUCUCGAUUGGUAAUGUAAUAGGCGAUUUAUGCAAUCACGUCUGGUGUUUGCUAAAGAACUCUAUUCUUAGCACAACUCACAUUAUUCUAUCCUUUAUACACAUGCUAUGGUUUAUUCUGUACCAUAGGAACUUAUGGUUUUUGCUAUGUCCAUUUAUGCGUAUAUUAUUCAACUCUAUAUUCUGAAUUUCUGAUUAAUCUAAGCAUGCUCUGUUGGGGUGUGAAAUAUGCGAACAUAGAGACUAACUUGAGAUCAGGGGCGAAGCUACGCCCCUGGGAUUUUAAAAAUAGUAGGGGUAUUUUCGUAAUUUUAUAUUAAAAAUAAAAAACAUAUAAUUUUAUCUACAUUAUUAUUAUGUUGAGCUAUUUUAAACUGUAAUUAGUAUGCAAUAUUUAGAAUUAAGACGUUUUGAAGAAGUGAACACAUAAUUAAUUUAUACAUAUCAUGAUUGGAUUGGAUUCCGGAUAUUUAUUUUUUUAAUUUGAUAUUGAAAGCUACUUUGUCUUACAAAGUUUUAUGAUAUUUUUGCAAAUAAAAUCACAUUCUAUUUCAAAUUUGUAAUUUUAACGUAACUUUUGACUGUGGCGAAUUAAAUCACUAUUUUUUCAAUUUUUUCAAUUACGUCCCCUAUUUUUUUUUUCGAUCGUCAGAGUGUUGAAUUGCAGCUCACGUGGAUUAGUAAAGACGACGUCGUUUUUGUGAGGCCUAAACGACGUCGUUUCGUAUAAUUUCAAAUAAUUUUUUUUCCAAAUAAAAGAGACAGUAUCUUGUAUUUGCACCAUAAUUUUUAAUAUGUAGUAAUUUUAUUGCAAAAUACAUCGUAACACGAAUAUUAUAUGGAGAAAUAAUUCACACAAACUUCAAGUUAAUAAUUCGACAAUCCAAAAAAUUGGGGGAUGAAAUUGCAAAAAUUAAAAAAGAUGAGUGAUUUACUUUGCCACACUUUCAAAGUUACAUUAAAAAAAAUUUGGACCCCCCUGAAUCGAAAGUCUAGCUCAGCCCCUGCUUGAGAUAGUAAAUACCUUGAUUGUUUUGUCCUUUUCGCUGUCUGUUGCGCUAUUUGAGUUUAAAGAGGAGAUAGCUGAAAAUUUCAGAUGUUGUUUAUUGACAUAUGCCGGAGGAAUCAAGAAUGAACUGGUAGAAAACUUAAGCCAAAGCUUACCUGUUCUAAGUUUGGCAGCAAUUGAAGUCUCUCAUUCCUUUGGUUGUUGAUGAACUAAGGAAUGAAUGAAAGGGCUGAUAGCCGUAAAGAAUCGAAUAUGGUGAAGGUGGUGAGUAGCUGAGGGGAUGGGAUGUCAUAGGGUGGCUGAUUGACUCUCUAGGUGUACCUUGGGUAUGGCUUUGAAGCUGCUCUAGCUGCAGAGAAGGGAUGGGAGCUGCUGUUGCAGCUGCCCUUGUACAGCACGUCCUCCCCCCCCCCCUCUUUUCUUCUCUCUUUGCCAUUUUUUUCCUCCUUUUGUUGCUACGUGUACAAGCUAGAUAGUAGGAGUGAAGUUGUAAUGUAGCUAGGAAUAAAUCCUUCUGUCUUGUAUUUAAUCUGAAUAUAGUUAUGAGUUUUGCUAAUAUUGCUUGUUUGUAAUCGAAUACUAGUUACUCUAAUAAAUCCCGUAUCUGCUAAUUCUAUAUUAAACCCGUAGAUUUAAUUCGCU